rnacentral:rRNA from 1 species
UAAGCAUAUCAAUAAGCGGAGGAAAAGAAACCAACAGGGAUUGCCCUAGUAACGGCGAGUGAAGCGGCAACAGCUCAAAUUUGAAAUCUGGCGUCUUUGGCGUCCGAGUUGUAAUUUGCAGAGGGCGCUUUGGCAUUGGCAGCGGUCCAAGUUCCUUGGAACAGGACGUCACAGAGGGUGAGAAUCCCGUACGUGGUCGCUAGCCUUUACCGUGUAAAGCCCCUUCGACGAGUCGAGUUGUUUGGGAAUGCAGCUCUAAAUGGGAGGUAAAUUUCUUCUAAAGCUAAAUACUGGCCAGAGACCGAUAGCGCACAAGUAGAGUGAUCGAAAGAUGAAAAGCACUUUGGAAAGAGAGUUAAAAAGCACGUGAAAUUGUUGAAAGGGAAGCGCUUGCAGCCAGACUUGCCUGUAGUUGCUCAUCCGGGUUUUUACCCGGUGCACUCUUCUAUAGGCAGGCCAGCAUCAGUUUGGGCGGUUGGAUAAAGGUCUCUGUCACGUACCUCCUCUCGGGGAGAUCUUAUAGGGGAGACGAAAUGCAACCAGCCUGGACUGAGGUCCGCGCAUCUGCUAGGAUGCUGGCGUAAUGGCUGUAAGCGGCCCGUCUUGAAACACGGACCAAGGAGUCUAACAUCUAUGCGAGUGUUUGGGUGUCAAGCCCGAGCGCGUAAUGAAAGUGAACGGAGGUGGGAACCUUUCGGGGUGCACCAUCGACCGAUCCUGAUGUCUUCGGAUGGAUUUGAGUAAGAGCAUAGCUGUUGGGACCCGAAAGAUGGUGAACUAUGCUUGAAUAGGGUGAAGCCAGAGGAAACUCUGGUGGAGGCUCGCAGCGGUUCUGACGUGCAAAUCGAUCGUCAAAUUUGGGCAUAGGGGCGAAAGACUAAUCGAACUAUCUAGUAGCUGGUUCCUGCCGAGU